rnacentral:rRNA from 1 species
UACAGAGGUCCCAAGCGUUGUUCGGAUUCAUUGGGCGUAAAGGGUGCGUAGGUGGCAUGGUAAGUCGGGUGUGAAAUCUCGGGGCUCAACCCCGGAACUGCACUCGAUACUGCCGUGCUCGAGUACUGGAGAGGAGACUGGAAUUUACGGUGUAGCAGUGAAAUGCGUAGAUAUCGUAAGGAAGACCGGUGGCGAAGGCUAGUCUCUGGACAGUUACUGACACUGAGGCACGAAGGCCAGGGGAGCAAACGGG